UCUAGCACUUUGUAUCUUUCGUUGGUAAACCAGCAUACGCAGUUCCUUAUUUUUACUUAAUAAUUCGGGUGGAUGUUUUUGCUCGGAAAAUUUUGGAAUCAGGACAGAUUUAUGCUGUGGAUAAGGCGGACGGGUGGAGAGAACAAAUGAAAUGCUUGUGAGUAAUGGAACAACAAAAGUGUGAUGGUGCACACAGCAAGCACAGUGAAGGUUUGUUCAUUGCAGCUGUUCUAUCCGUAGGAAAUGCAAAUAGAUGAAUGUAAACACAGAAACACUGUGGGAACAGUGAAAGACAAGAUACCACUGUUGCUGGCUAUCGGGAAAUAAGGUGCUGGAGAUGCCCAGCAGGAUGGGUAGCACUCGUCAAACAAGAAGAAUGGACUUAAUACUGCAGGUGGAUGACCUUCAACAGAGCUAACAGUAGUAGUAUAAACAUGACAGGUUGGAUGAAGGCAUGUGGUUUCCCACAUUAUGUUGGAUUUUGCUGGAACGCUAAUUGGGCAGAAGCACAGACAGAGCGGGAUAGGGAAUUAAAGUGAAAGGCAACUGGAAGAUCAAGGUCACCCCUGCAGACUUCAAGGUAUCUGCAAGGCCAUCAUCCAAUCUGUGUUUGGUUUCUUUAACGCAGAGGAAUCACCAUUGUGAGCACACAGUGGAAUACUCUAAAGUGGAGGAAGUGCAAGUGAAUCACUGCUCCACUUGAAAGAACCAUUCAGAUGCCCAAAUGGUGGGAAAGGGCUAAAAAGGGCAAGUUGUACAUUUCCUGCAGUUGCACGAGAAGAGGAAGGGGAGUGCGGUGGCGAUGGAAAGGUGAACCAGGGAAUCAAGAUGAAGGUGGCAGUGGCAGUUGAUCUCUGGCAAGGUUGGGACACAUUUCAUAUAAGCAGCUGAACCUUCCUUGUGCUUCAACCGAGUGACUUCCCUUCACCAUUUAACUGUAAUAUCUUUGGAUGAAGGAAAGGAGGAGAAGAGUUAGAAGACAGUGAAUCAUUGUUGCUGAAACAAUCAACCAGAGUUCAAGAGCAGAAUAAGAAGCAAGAGUUCGGUGGAGUUACAUUUGCAGAUCUGGGGUUGGACACACUUUCAUUGCCUUUAAUACCAUGAAUUCAAUUCUUAAUAAUAGGCAGUCGCACGUGUGUGAUUGUGUAGGAAAGAACUGCAGAUGCUGGUUUAAAUUGAAGAUAGACACAAAGUCCUGGAGUAACUCAACGGGACAGGCAGCAUCUCUGGAGAGAAGGAAUCGGUGACAUUUUGGAUUGAAACCCAUCUUCACACAUGUGUCAGAUUGUCAGGUGUCAGGAGCUGAAAGGGUUAACCAGAAGAGCUUCUGUUCUUAUCUCUUGAAAGUUUUGAGGUCAACGAUCUCGUAUGUUAUUUUGCAGAAUGUUCCAGCUGAUGCCAAGCAAAGCCAAUGUCUGAUUAGUUGAAUAACUGGUAGAACACAUUCUCAACAUAUUUUUGUUAAAUGCCUUUGUUUAAAUGAUGCUCUUGGAAAACAAUAAAACACAGACAGUCAUGUCCACGUGGCAGGGAAGCAAGUUUAAGGCUUUAGCUGACUUUACGAGUUGCAGUGGCAUAUUAUGCUAAAUUACAUUUUUAAGACUGGCAGAUUUCACCCAUCCCUGGAGAAAGUAUCAAUAAUGAUUUUAAAUAAAAUCAGAAAAUGAGUUCUGACAAAAGGUCAUCAACCCACAAUAUGAAUGCUUUCUCUCUGCACAGGUCGCUUGACUUGCUGUCAUUUCCAGUACUGUCUUUUACUUCUAAUUUGCCGACUCUACAAUGUUUUACCUUUUUUUUUAAUAUAAUGACAUAAUUUCUUGUUCCAUUAUCUAACAAAGACUAGUUGCAUCGUUCCCUGAAACAUGCAAACUCCAUUCCUUCUUACCCAUAUGGCUGUGGCAGAAGAUUCGGACUCAUACUUCAAGAAUACCAGCCUACUAUUGAGGCUGUCAUUCUGAACCGAGAUAUUACUUGAAGUUCACUCUUUUGAAUUAGAUUUUAAAUCAAGGUCAUCAAAUGAAUGGAAAAUAUCCCUUGGCAUAUUCAAUGAGAAAUGGGUAAUUCUGCUAGUAUCCAAGUUACUUUCUAUGCCUCCUCUAAUAUCUAUCAUUAGAGUAAUUGAUGACGUUAUUUUUACUAAGAACUUGCUCUGUAUACAUUGGCUGCUUGGUUUCUCACAUUAUAACCAAAACACAAGAUGCUGAAGAGUCCAGACCCGAAACAUCGCCUGACCAUUGUCUCCAAAGAUGCCACCUGACCCACUUUGUGUUUUGCUCAAGAUUGAAGCCAUUCCUUGUCUCUCCAUUUUGCAUUGUAACAUUGACUACACUUCAAUUACUUUCUUGGCUGAAUAGGUGACAUACUAACGAAAUGCCAGUUUUUUCCUCAAGGAAUCUCUGGUUACCUGCACUCAGAUGAUACACUGGUUCCUCCUCCCGUAUAAUAUCGGACAGAGGGAGUACAAGUUUGAUAAUGCUCUUGCAGUUGCUGCUCAGAGCAGUCCUUGGUUUGAUGACCCUCCCAUUAUGGUGUAAGGUUGGCAUUUCUUAGAUUGUGACCUGGUAUGAAUUUCACAGUGCCAACACAAAACACAGGGAAAUGGUUUAAAAAUCCACCAACUGCAAUCUCAUGAUGAGAGAAAGGCCAAAUCAGCUAAAUUCUGAUAAUUAACAAAUUGCCAAAAAAUGUCAUUUACCUUCAUUGUUAAUCGAGUUUGUAUUAUGUUUUGGGGAGCAUCUUGAAAAAUAAGAUUCUCAGGAUAUUGGGACUGUUGGCAAGACUGACAUAUAUUCCUUGAUAUAACCGGUAGUUAUAACAAGAGCAAAGAGAAAUUAAGCGAUAACAAUUUGAAUGUGGGGUCGGAGUCACAAAGGCCUGCCCUGUGAAGGAGGACAGGUUUCCUUCAGUUGGGAUGUAACAAGAAUGCGGCAGUUUCAAGGUCACUUUUAAUUUUACCAUUUUAUUUCCAAGCAGGGUUUGAACUUGGCUUUGUGGA